rnacentral:rRNA from 1 species
UAAUACGUAGGUGGCGAACGUUGUCCGGAUUUACUGGGCGUAAAGCGCGCGCAGGCGGACCGAUAAGUCAGAGGUGAAAUCUCCCGGCUCAACUGGGAGGGGCCCUUUGAUACUGUCGGUCUUGAGAUGCCUAGAGGAGAGUGGAAUUCCCGGUGUAGUGGUGGAAUGCGUAGAUAUCGGGAGGAACACCAGUGGCGAAAGCGGCUCUCUGGGGGCGAUCUGACGCUGAGGCGCGAAAGCGUGGGGAGCAAACCGGAUUAGAUACCCGGGUAGUCCACGCCGUAAACGAUGAGUACUAGCUGUAUGGGGUAUCGACUCCCUGUGUAGCGAAGCUAACGCGAUAAGUACUCCGCCUGGGGACUACGACCGCAAGGUUA